rnacentral:rRNA from 1 species
GAUGAACGCUGGCGGCGUGCUUAACACAUGCAAGUCGAACGAAGCAAUCUAACGGAAGUUUUCGGAUGGAAGCUGGAUUGACUGAGUGGCGGACGGGUGAGUAACGCGUGGGUAACCUGCCUCGCACUGGGGGACAACAGUUAGAAAUGACUGCUAAUACCGCAUAAGCGCACAGGACCGCAUGGUCUAGUGUGAAAAACUCCGGUGGUGUGAGAUGGACCCGCGUUUGAUUAGCUAGUUGGUGGGGUAACGGCCUACCAAGGCGACGAUCAAUAGCCGACCUGAGAGGGUGACCGGCCACAUUGGGACUGAGACACGGCCCAAACUCCUACGGGAGGCAGCAGUGGGGAAUAUUGCACAAUGGGGGAAACCCUGAUGCAGCGACGCCGCGUGAGUGAAGAAGUAUUUCGGUAUGUAAAGCUCUAUCAGCAGGGAAGAAAAUGACGGUACCUGACUAAGAAGCCCCGGCUAACUACGUGCCAGCCGCCGCCGUAA